CCUCUGUAUAUUCUUCUCGGUCUGCGGCUGAGGAAGACUCUACACCUACAUCGAGCAUCGCGAUGUUCUCUGGGCGGAAGGAAAAGAACAAUGGCAGAGUCACGUGAUGCCCACCAAGCUUCUCUCUGGAAGUGGAGAAGUGAGGAGGGGUCUGGGUGAGCCGGUGGCAGUGAGCUGGGUCCUAGCAUUAGCAAUCACGGUCACCGGUGAAAAGAAGAACCAUCGAGAAGAGAAGAGAAAGAACUGGCCUUAGAUCUGCUUGUAGCCAAACUUUUGUUCACACCUACCCCAUGGUUUGUGUAUGUGUCCCUCCGCGCAUGCACAUAGAUGUGCUUGC
rnacentral:lncRNA from 1 species